rnacentral:lncRNA from 1 species
GAUGCUGCUGGUCCCGCCUCCAUCGCCGCCGUCAUUUCCAGUUGCCGCCAGUUUCGCCUCCGGCCGCCACUCGCGACUCAGCACGCUUCGGCGCCACCAGGUCGCCGCGACUAAUGAAGUCGACGCCUUCACGCAAUACUCCGGCUACCUCUUCGAGCUGAGCUCAUCUGAAGCCGAAUCCUUGAACGAAUACAAAAUAUCGAAAAUCGCCGCUAUAUAUCAGAAGAAGCCUUUGAUUCUCCUCCGCCGGUUGUUGCAGACCGCCACCACUCUCGGCCGGUGGUUCGCCCUCCGGUAUUACGACCGCAUCACCGAGCGUGCGGACGCCAUGUUCGAGGUUAGGGUUACAAGUCUCCACUAAUUUGUAGUCUGUAGAGUGACAUGGUGUGUGCUUCUGAUUUCUGAUUUUGGAGCGAUUGUGAUUCCCAUGAGCAACUCGAUUGGUUUUCGGCGUGUAUAGGCCAAUUAGGCAACUCCUGAGCGACGGAAUGUCUUAUAACUUGCAGCUUUUGAUUUCAAAUGUGGGUUCAUUGGCGUGAAACGGAUUAUUUGAUUUGAUUUUAUUUUUGUUCUCAAUACUUAGUAAUUGUCAAUUGAAUUAGAUAUGCAAAAGAACAACUUGCUCUUUAUCUAUUCACUUUCUGCAGCUUAUUAGUUGAUAAAUAUGUGAAUAUUCUUUUGAUGUGUGCACCUUCAUCAGUUUUUCAUUGUUUUUCUUAUGGAUUGUAGGUCAGGGCUGCUGAAUUGAGGAAGAUACUAGUACAACUCGGGCCGGUAUAUGUUUUUAGUUUUCAUAACAAAUGCUUCACUUUUUUAUGUUGUGUCAGUUUUUUUCAAUUUCGGUUUUCCAUUAUAUGCACGCUUUCCCUUACAGUCUUACAAUUAUUUUCAAAUUAGGACUUUGAACUCGGUUUCCUGGGAAUCUUAUUGCUGUUGAUUUUAUUCUAGCAAAUGCAUGGACAUCUGGUGUUAAUUAAAACUUAAAAGAAUCUAUGGACUGCUAUGACAUGNAUAAAGUGAAUUGGUGAGAAAUAUUUAAAGAUUACUCCCUCCGUCCCUAAAAUAACUUCCUUUUUUUUUCCAUUUGGGACGUCCCCCAAAUAACUUCAUCUUUCUUUCUUUCCAUUUUUGGACACCUACCCCACCACUAAUAAUACUUUAUUUAUUCUUAUUUUUCACUUUUCACCACUCCCAAUACUAAUUAUAACACUUUUCACAACUUCCAAUAAUAAUUAUAUCACUUUUUCUCCACUAUCAAUACACUUUACAACUUUUCAUUAAAACCCGUGCCGUCCCCAAAGAGAAAGUCAUUUCAGGGACGGAGGGAGUAUUUUAAAUGGGUUGAACCCAUUAUUAAUACUCCCUCCGUCCCAGCCCAAUAGGCUCAUUUCUUUUGGGCACGGAGAUUAAGAAACUUAUUUUUUAGGAGUAAGUGGUGUGGUCCACACCAAUUAAGUACAUUUUCUUUACUUAAAAUGGAAAACGAGCCUAUUGGAGUGAGACGUCUCAAAAAGGAAAACGAAUCUAUUAGAGUGGGACGGAGGGAGUAAUAUUUUAAAUACUAAUUAAUCUUUUAUUGAAAGUAAUACUCCCUCCGUCCCUGAAAUAAGUUUCACUUUUUUCUUUUUGGAACGUCCCCAAAUAACUUUCUCUUUCUUUCUUUCCAUUUUUGGACAACUACUCCACCAUUAAUAAUACUUAUUUAUUCUUAUUUUUCACUUUUUCACUACUCUCAAUACAUUUUCACGACUUUCAAUAAUAAUUAUAAUAUUUUUCUCCACUAUCAAUACAUUUUACAAUAUUUUCUUAAAAUUUGUAUCGUCCCUAAAUAGGAACUUAUUUUAGAGACGGAGGGAGUAUAAAAUACUAAUGUGACGUUUUAAUAUACUACGUACUUUAACGGGAAGGAUGGAAUAAUUACAAAUUGGGAUUGGGAUUUGUUAUUUCAUGGUUAUAAUGAAUGAAUUAUUGAAGUAUUAUUUUUACCUCUAAUAUUUCGUAUGUAAGUCGAGUACUAUUUAAUUCUUGUAUUAUCAUUAGUGUCUCGUUCUUUGUCACCUAAUAUUGGAGUAUACUCUCCUCACAAAAAAAAAAAUAUUGGAGUAUACAUCGUGUUUAUAAGAUAAAUGUAUAAUUCAUAAAUUUAUAAUAACUUUCAUCCGUUUUUGUAGUUUUCUUUUUUUCUUUCUAAAAUUAUCUUAGAAUUUAUAAAAAUCAAUUUAAUAUUCAAUCUCUUUAAAAUAUUUCAUAUCCGUCAGUGUCUCGGGCCCUAAAAUUAGAGAUGAAAUCCUAUGUUGCACAAUUUAGGGUGUAACACGUGGCAGAAAAUUAAGCUCUCAAGUAGACACGUGGCUUCAUGCAACCGAACCACCAUGUUGCAUCCAUUUUCUAUAAUCCAACAUUCUAUCCUAUAUUAUAUCAAACACACAUAAAUAAAUCCUUAAAACNUCGAUUGGGGUCACGAUCACCGCCUACGGCGAGGCGAAGUUCGAUUCGUUGGGGGUGAUUCUGCAAUUGGGGGCGGUGACGUUCGAGGGAGAAUUCGAGUUUCCAUUUCGAUUAUGUGAUUUUCGGGAGCAAUGACGCCGAUUUGGAAUUCCCGAUUUGGGGCUUGGGAACUUGAUUUCGUGAUUUUCCUCAUCUGACGGCGAUUGACGCCGGAAAAGUUGGUCGGAGAAGAUGAGAUGUGAUUUUUUUUAAUGAACGGUGUGCAGAUUAGCCCCCGAACUCCAAAAAGGGAAAAAGGUGCAGAUUAGCCCCUGAACUCCAAAAAAACGGUGCAGAUCGCCCCCUCUGACUAACGGCCCAUAACGGUGUUAAGUCAGAGGGGGCGAUCUGCACCAUUUUUUUGAGUUCGAGGGCCAAUCUGCACACACAGUUAGUAAGAGGACUGAAAUGCUCUAAGGGCCUUCACUUGAGGGGCCUAUAUGCACCUUAACCCUUUUUUUAAAGAUGAUGCGACGUGGAUUUGAAUUUUAGAUUUUGAGCAUUAGAUAUUAACUAGUUAAUUAAAACUUCUUGUCUUAUUAAUUUAUCUUUUAUACCAUAACAUAAAUUUGUAUGUGUUGCUGUUGUGUCAAGUGUGAAGGUAUUGAAGCACACCAAAGUUUGAUUAUGGUGAUCCAAGUUUUAGGUAGUUCAUAAUUUUUGGGUGAGGUCCAAGUCAUAUAAUAUAAAAUGUAUUUGUAUGUUGAAUUUGAAAAUUAUAUAUAGUCAUGAAAAAACUUAUCUUGACAUCGUAAUGAAUUGGAUAAACUGAUUGAUUGUGUGUUUUAUUUGGUAAUAUUGGUGUGAGAGAAAGUGAUUUAUUUAAAUUUGGCGGCAGGGGUGAGGAAAGAGGACGUGAAGGUGCAGGUGGAGGAUGGCAACUUUCUGCAUAUAAGUGGGAAGACAAGUGUGGAGAAGGAUAAAUGGCACAGGGUGGAGCGCAGCCGCGGGAGAUUCCGGCUGCCGGAAAAUGCUGACGUGGAGGGAAUAAAGUGCGGGUUGGAACAUGGAGUGCUCACGGUGGAGAUGGCCAAGAAGGAGCUACGUGCACCAACAUAGAAAUCUGCGAUAUAUGAAUGUCACCUCAACUUUGUGUGUGUAUUUUACGUAGGUAGUCCGGUUUGUUUUUUUUUUUUUUUUGGUGCCAUCUGUAUAAUUUAUGAUUUUAAAGGUGUAUAUCAGUAUGAUUUAUGUACCUAAAAAUAUUUGAGUAGCUUAGACAAGAAUAUUAUAGCUACUUUCUACUUAAUUUACACGAAAAUAAUUAUAAAGUACACAUUAUCAUUAAUAAAAGUAACAAUUAUUGUGAACAAAUGUAAUAAUUUCAAAACAUUACAUUUUUUCAUGUCAAUAAUUACUUUUCAUUAUAAUAACAAUUACUUUGAAUAACGGAGAAAAUAAAUAGAAUAUAGAAAAAAAAUUAAAUAAUAAUUUAAGUAAUUAUUAUCUUGAGGAAAAGUAACUAUUGAUAUGAUGAAAUAAUCAAAUAAUAAUUCAAAUACUCAUUGUCUUGAGGAAAAGUAAUUAUUGAUAUGAUGAAAUGUAAUGUUUCUAAAUUAUUACAUUUGUUCACAAUAAUUAUUACUUUUAUUAAUGAGAACGUGUACUUUAUUUCUGGUAUCUCAGACCCGUGCCCAAAACCCACCCGACCCGUCAAACCCGCGCCCCGACCCGACCCGACCCGUCUCAUGGUAUGAGGUUGACCUCACCCAAGUUUUUGUGAAAAAUAUUUGAGGAGCUUACUACAAGAAUAUUAUAUGACUACUUUCUACUUAAUUUACACCAAAAUAAUUAUUUUUGCAGAAUAUGUGUAGUGAUAGCGAUUUGCUAUACUUUUGUGGCAAUCCUACGUCUCGCCUAUAAAUAAAUACGAUACAAUUAAGCAAAAAAAAAAAUCAGAUAAUACGAAUCUUUUAAUAGAGGCCAACAAACUACCUCCGCCAACGGUUGCAAAUUUGCAGCGAAAUUCGUUUCAGUUCCCGGCAAGAUGCUGCUGGUCCCGCCUCCAUCGCCACCGUCAUUUCCAGUUGCCGCCAGUUUCGCCUCCGGCCGCCACUCGCGACUCAGCACGCUUCGGCGCCACCAGGUCGCCGCGACUAAUGAAGUCGACGCCUUCACGCAAUACUCCGGCUACCUCUUCGAGCUGAGCUCAUCUGAAGCCGAAUCCUUGAACGAAUACAAAAUAUCGAAAAUCGCCGCUAUAUAUCAGAAGAAGCCUUUGAUUCUCCUCCGCCGGUUGUUGCAGACCGCCACCACUCUCGGCCGGUGGUUCGCCCUC